rnacentral:RNase_P_RNA from 1 species
UCGCUGUGUCAGACGGCCGCGCGGUAUGGCGCCGAAAGGUAUUACCGUGAGGAAAGUCCGGGCAUCACAGGGCAGGAUAACGGAUAACGUCCGCCGAGGGUGACCUCCGGGAAAGUGCAACAGAAAUAAACCGCCUCAGGCGUAUCCGGGCAAUACCGGAGAGCGCCGAAGGGGUCCUCAGAUCGCGCUUGCGCGGUUUGGGGUUCCCGAGGUAAGGGUGGAAAGGCGAGGUAAGAGCUCACCGGCACCGAUGGCAACAUCGUGCAAAUGUAAACCCUAUCCGAUGCAACACCGGGUGAAAGAAGGGCUGCCCGUCCGCUCCGCAAGGGGAUUUCCGAGGUGGCAAAGAGCUGUGCGGCAACGCAUACGCCAAGACAGAUGGUCGUCGCUGACAGAACCCGGCUUACGACACGGCCGGACG